UGAUGCUCUGUUUUCAGUGAGAUUGCGAAGAACUUGCCACUUGCACCAGUAAAGCUCCAUUGCACUAUGCCUGCUGAAGAUGCAGUUAAAAUCAAAGAAGGUGAAUCUGGGAGAUAGCCUUGCAGAGACACCUUUGAAAGGUUCGUUUAUUAUUUCAAACUGCUUAAUUUUGUAGAUCAUGCCCCAAAAUAAAUAGGUCUCAACAUUAUUGCUGCUAGUAAUUGAUAGUCUGUCAAUUGGGUUGAGGCAGUUUAUGUUCAUUUUUCUCAUGUAUACUUCUAUUUCUCUGCAAGAUGUAUGAUACCCGUAUUAGCAAAUCUUAAGUGGUGAAGUCGAUUCAUGACCGUAAUGCUUGCAGUCUUGACCCCCCCCGGGUCACUGGUCAUGAUAAGCAUUUCAUAUUGUACAAACAAAAGUUUUGUUUUUCAUUGAGCUUUUUUGUGUCAAGCAAUAUGUGUAACUCCAUCUUAGCUUGCAGAAUACACAAGAACUGUUAGAUUUUAAUGCUUUUUUGUAUUUUUGUCCUAUUGUUGUAUCGACACAGUUUCAGUUCCUUUAGGUACACUUUACUUACCUUAAGCUCUCAACUAUUUGUUUGUUGUGUUGUUGGCUUAAUAAAACUGAUGUAACUCAGUUUCUUGUAUGUACCCAUGAGGAUCGUCAUGGUAUCCACCCGCACCCUCUUGUUGCCUUUCUAUGCGGUGCAUCAGCCUCCUAUAGAUGACCCAAAGCUUGCAGUAGCAUCAUCAUCAUCUCUGUCUCCUUCCUCACGAGCUUCAUGUCGUAGAUGAGGUCGCAACCGAGGUAUGCCCUCCUCUCCUCCCUUCUCCUGCCUAUCAAGUGCUUGUGUGAAAAGCAAUUUUAACCGAAAACCAAUCUCUGUUUGUUGUGAAGUGUAGUACAUAGUGUUAUUUUUCCUGCUGUUAAAUUUUACAGGUUGAGAAAUAUGUAGGUUAACAUCAUUUGGUUGAUAUUUUGCUUCUUGGUCUUUGUAGGAGUUGAUGUGAGAUUCAAUUCAAUUCUCUUUUACAUAUAUGGUCUUGGUAGGAGUUUUAGUUUUGUAGUGUCUUUUAAUUUGAUAUGAUUUCUAUUCUUCAAAAAUAUAAAUCAUGAGAGUAAAACUAAAUCUUCUUGUUGCAGUUUUGCAGUGCUCUUUUAAUUUGAUAUGAUUUCUAUUCUUCAAAAAUUUAACUUUGGAUACUCAUGUGUGUGCUAUUGAACUUAUAGGUUUGCAUCACGGAUGCCGUCGACGGUGGGCAUACAUGUUGUGGCGGAAGCUCAUUGCAUAUUGUAGGUUGAACUCAUGCUUUUGUUUGUUAACUCUUGUUGCAUAUGUACACAUGUUGUGAACCCUCCUUGAAUAUGUAUGUGUGUUUUUGUGAAACUAUGUUGGAUAUGUAUGCAUGUGUGGACUUUGAACUCAUCAUCUGUUUGUUAUUUUUGUGAACUUGUAAUAUAUUGGAUAUGUAUGCAUG
rnacentral:lncRNA from 1 species